rnacentral:rRNA from 1 species
CCUACGGGAUGCAGCAGUGGGGAAUAUUGCACAAUGGGCGCAAGCCUGAUGCAGCCAUGCCGCGUGUAUGAAGAAGGCCUUCGGGUUGUAAAGUACUUUCAGCGGGGAGGAAGGCGAUAAGGUCAGUAACCUUGUCGAUUGACGUUACCCGCAGAAGAAGCUCCGGCUAACUCCGUGCCAGCAGCCGCGGUAAUACGGAGGGUGCAAGCGUUAAUCGGAAUUACUGGGCGUGAAGCGCACGCAGGCGGUCUGUCAAGUCGGAUGUGAAAUCCCCGGGCUCAACCUGGGAACUGCAUUCGAAACUGGCAGGCUAGAGUCUUGUAGAGGGGGGUAGAAUUCCAGGUGUAGCGGUGAAAUGCGUAGAGAUCUGGAGGAAUACCGGUGGCGAAGGCGGCCCCCUGGACAAAGACUGACGCUCAGGUGCGAAAGCGUGGGGAGCAAACAGGAUUAGAUACCCCUGUAGUC